UCACAGCCUAGAGCUGUCCCAGGGCCUGCCUCUCCAUGACUGCCUCUUGCUCUGGAAACCACCGGACAAGCAAGAGCUGCACUGGUUAAAUUCAAAGCCAGGCAAGAGCUGCUCCAGCUCCAAGCACAUGAUUUCUAGGAGGAAUCAAGGCUGCUGUAAGCUCCCUCAUCUGUUUCCACGUUGAUGCUGCUCUGGUCACCCUGAACUCCAACUCUGCAGGUGCCAGCCCACCUGGCACCAGGACACAGCCAGGUUCCUGCUGUUCCCCUCCAGAGUCUCUGGCUGGAAGAUGCUGUGAUGAACCAGGAGCUGUGCUGGCUGCUCCCAACCAAGGGAAGCUUUCCCAAUGGCUGCUGCUGCUGCCAGGUCUGUGCUGUGCCAGCAGGGAGCCUGUGAAGUGUCCUGGGGAGCUGUGCCACUGCUGUAUCCACCAGCCCUGCCAUAGCAGGGACCCUGCCCUGGGAACCCCGCAGCCUGACCAGGGAUGUUGGCAGCUAAGUGUGGCUCUGGAGCUGUGGGAGAUGGUUCCCCCCCUGUUGGCAAGCAGACACCUAACCCUGUGGCUAUAGGCUUUGAAAUGAUCAAACACAGAUUUCAACCAGUGGGCGAGGACCGGUGCCCAGCCUUGCAGUGGCACAGGCAGUGAGGAGGCUGUGUCACUGGGAGAGGAGGGAUCAGGCAGGACGUUCUGGUGGUGCACCACCAGGUUCUGGUGCACACUGGGCUGUGCCGGGAGCAGGUCCUGCAGCACGGUGUUGGACAUCAGGACAUGGACCCCCAGGCAGGAAAAGAGUCCCUCAACGUUCUGGGGAUUGUCGUGGGUGUGGGGCUGGUCUUGCUGGUCCUGGUGCUUAUUGGCUACGCCUUUGUCCGGUGGUACCAGAGGGGAUGGUGCUGGCACCGGCCUGACUUUGUCUUCAACCUCUACCACACCUGUGGGCUGGGGGCAGUGGCUGUGGAGCUGGUGCCACCGUUCAGCAUCAGCGGCUCCCUGAGCCCGGCGGGGAGCAGCUACAUCCCAUUCCACAACCAGGAGCCUUGAGAUAAGAACCAGGCUGGCUUGCAGCUGCAUUUCUCUUGCUGGCCCUCCCUGGCCAUGGGCAGUGCUGGAAGGUGCCCAGGGCCUCCCUCCUGCUGUCCCCAUGCCAGAGCACUGGAGCAACCUCCCCCAGCUUGAGAUGGAGGACAAGGAAGCUGCCUUAUCCCGGCUCCAUCAACAUGCAUCCCAGAGAGAAAAGACAUCUUCCCCAUGGCCCACCACAGCCCAGGGACACCCCAGCCCUUCAGAGCAGCUGAAUGUGUGCCCAGGAGAUGUUGGACCAGGCUGUUGGUGAACAGGGCAGUGGGGACUGCAGGGAACAACGUGAAAAAGGACAGGAAUGAGCCAUAGGACUGCGUGGCUGGGUUUGUGCAAUAGGUGAAAAUGCCGAAAGGAAAUGAAACUUCUUCAGACUUCCCACCCAGGUCAAAUAUCUGGACCAAUGUGGAAAUUCAUCCUCUGCAUUGAUCGUGCAAUCAAACACGUCAGAAAACCCCAGUGGGCUUCCUUGUGCCAGCCACCUUCUCAACCUCAGCAGAGCCAAGCAGCUGUGAAGUUCCCUGGAGCCAGGAGCAGCCCUUGGAGAAGCUGCUGUGACCAUUGGAGGGGAACCCCACCCAGCAGUGGGGGCUGGAGAGGCCCAGGGGCUUGGGGACUGCUUCUUUGCAAGCUUUUCUCAGAAGGAAAAUGAAGAGAAACUCGUGAGACCACACAGCUGUGGGCAGGGAAACUUGUGAGGAGGAUGGAGGCUCAGAGGAGGAGAGCUGAACGUCCUCUGUGUGUUAGGAUGUGGCUUAAUUCUGGACAGCGUGAGCAUCUGGGAUUUCCAGGGAGCCAGAGAGACUGUCUGUGCUCUUGGCUAUUGAAGCCAAAGC